rnacentral:rRNA from 1 species
CCUACGGGUGGCAGCAGUGAGGAAUAUUGGUCAAUGGACGAGAGUCUGAACCAGCCAAGUAGCGUGAAGGAUGACUGCCCUAUGGGUUGUAAACUUCUUUUAUAUGGGAAUAAAACGUUCCACGAGUGGGAUUUUGUAUGUACCAGAUGAAUAAGGAUCGGCUAACUCCGUGCCAGCAGCCGCGGUAAUACGGAGGAUCCGAGCGUUAUCCGGAUUUAUUGGGUUUAAAGGGUGCGUAGGUGGAUUGUUAAGUCAGUUGUGAAAGUUUGCGGCUCAACCGUAAAAUAGCAGUUGAAACUGGCAGUCUUGAGUACAGUAGAGGUGGGCGGAAUGCGUGGUGUAGCGGUGAAAUGCUUAGAUAUCACGAAGAACUCCGAUUGCGAAGGCAGUUCACUGGACUGCAACUGACACUGAGGCUCGAAAGUGUGGGUAUCAAACAGGAUUAGAUACCCCUGUAGUC